GUGUGAGGAGUUAUUAUUAUUAUUUGGGAAAAUGGGGGUAUUUUCCACUGGCCAGACUCCUCAACUUUUUUUCAGUUGAAUCCCUGGGAAACCCAGAGCCGAACCCCAACAUGGCAGCGGGAUCAAGAAAGCGAGGCGGAGCAAACUCCGAGAUUCUGAGAUCCGUCGGGCCGGCUGUAUGGAGACACCCAGCUGCACUCAGUGAUGCCCAGAGUCUCGCCCCUGGGUGAUGGAGGGAUUUCUAACACGGGGCCCUAUGAUCUCCCUGCAGACUGGGGGACAGUGAGUAAACAUUUCUCCCGGACACCAUGUCUCUUGCAGUAUCACCACAUCUGUUCCUGUUGUACUCUUAACAAAGAGAGGCAAGCGAGGCUUUUUGAAACCCAGUGCAUCGGACUCCCCAGCUGUGUGAAGCACUCAACUGAUGUAUGCUGUAAAUAUGUACUGCAGAUCCUGCUCUUUUGUUCCUGACCUCUCCGUGCCCAACAGCUUUAAAUUGGAUGAACACUCAAGGGUUGGGGCAGACCAGGCUUUGUAGAGAUGUUUAACAACCCAUCUGCCACUAGAGGGCAGUAAAGGACUCUAUUAGUUGUAAAUAGGCACAGCGGGUGACAAUUCACUUUUCACUUUCACGCGGGUGUAACUGGAGGAAUGUUUGGGACAUCAAGUCAGGGGCCGGGCGGGUGACAGUAGCAGGAGAAGCUGAUCCGUUUGUGUUCUCUCUGUCAGGACCUGGUCUGUCACGGAGGGAGGGGGGGAGCUUAUCGCCAGAGGAACAGGGCCGGACGGCAGUGUGACCACAGGAUGACGCCUCUUGAUCUCCACACAGCUGCAGGCAGGAAGUGGGGAUCUGCAGGGAUUGCAGGUUUUCAACACAAGAGACGCUCAAUAAGAAGCAAUAACUCCUGCAAUCAAGUGUCUGACCAGCGAUGAACACCUGUCUCGUCUCAUCAACAGCUGGAGGCAGCAGAUCGGGGUACAGCGGAUCAGGUGGGCGUCAAAUCCCAAAAUAAUUGGCAAGUCCAAAUUCUAACAUUCAUAACCAGGUCUGACCCUCGUCAGCAGUUAUAUUCCAGAGACUCGGAAAUCACUCUAAUAAAAACAGGCCUUUUCAUCCAAAGGGUUCUCAUACCGCCUCUCAAUUGAACCUCCUGGCGAUCGAUCUAUCACAUUUCACUGCUGCUAAAAGCCAAUCAGCACUGCCACAACGUAGCACAGUCUCCAGCAAAUACCCGACACUCGACAGACACGAGCCUUGAGAUUUAAUUAGCAGCUCCCCUUGGCGCUGAUGUAGCCGGAACCCACAGCUGACAGACAGUGAGACCCAGCCCCCCCCCCCCCACAGCCUGCUGGGUGAAGGCUGAGUUCGUGAAGAGCUGAGCUGAGUGGAGGCUGAGAUCGAGGCGCAUUUCCUCAACGGUCAUUACUGUGCUUCCAAAAACAUGCCUGGUUCUCGGCAAAGAGCCACGCCUCCCAGCCCAGUGCGUUACAGGAGCCCAGAACACACCACUCUUUACACCUUUCAGUAAUAAUAAUAACUCCUGACACUUCUAGAGCUCUU